CGAGUCGGCCAGACGGUCGCUGUGGUUGCACAGAGGAAAGUCCGGGCUCCACAGGGCAGGGCGCCAGGUAACGCCUGGAGGGCGCGAGCCCAUGGAAAGUGCCACAGAAAAUACACCGCCGCGCCUGCGGGCGCGGUAAGGGUGAAAAGGUGCGGUAAGAGCGCACCGCGCCGGUGGCAACACCGGUGGCAGGGUAAACCCCGCCUGGAGCAAGGUUGAAUAGGGAGGCAAGCGCGUUGCGCGGCACACGGCCCGUGUGCGCUUCCGGGUAAACCGCAAGAGGCGCAUGGCGACAUGCGUCCCAGAUGAAUGACCGUUCUCGACAGAACCCGGCUUACCGGCCGACUCACUUG
rnacentral:RNase_P_RNA from 1 species